AUGAAAGUGGCGAACGGGUGAGUAACACGUAAGUAAUCUGCCUUCAAGUUUGGGAUAACCCUGCCAACGCGGGGCUAAUACCGGAUGUGGUCCAGCAGACCCAUGUUUGCGGGAUUAAAGGUCGCGAGACCGCUUGGAGAUGAGCUUGCGGCCCAUUAGCUAGUUGGUGAGGUAACGGCCCACCAAGGCAGGGAUGGGUAGCCGGCCUGAGAGGGUGUACGGCCACAUUGGGACUGAGAUACGGCCCAGACUCCUACGGGAGGCAGCAGUAGGGAAUUUUGCGCAAUGGACGGAAGUCUGACGCAGCAACGCCGCGUGAAGGAUGAAGGCCUUCGGGUUGUAAACUUCUGUUGGAUGGGAAAAAAAGCCUUUUAAGAGGAAUUGAUGGUACCAUUCGAGUAAGCACCGGCUAACUACGUGCCAGCAGCCGCGGUAAUACGUAGGGUGCGAGCGUUGUUCGGAAUCACUGGGCGUAAAGGGAGCGUAGGCGGAACUGUAAGUUAGAAGUUUAAUACAUGGGCUCAACCCGUGGUCUGCUUUUAAUACUGCGGUUCUUGAGUAUGGGAGAGGGCGAUGGAAUUCCAGGUGUAGCGGUGGAAUGCGUAGAUAUCUGGAAGACACCAGUAGCGAAGGCGGUCGCCUGGCCCAAUACUGACGCUGAGGCUCGAAAGCUGGGGGAGCAAACAGGAUUAGAUACCCUG
rnacentral:rRNA from 1 species